CGGGGUGCAGCAGUCGAGAAUUUUUCUCAAUGGGCGAAAGCCUGAAGGAGCGACGCCGCGUGGGGGAUGAAUGGCUUCGGCCCGUAAACCCCUGUCAUUUGCGAACAAAUUAAUCUACUUAACACAUAGAUUAUUGAUUGUAGUAGAAGAGGAAGGGACGGCUAACUCUGUGCCAGCAGCCGCGGUAAUACAGAGGUCCCAAGCGUUGUUCGGAUUCACUGGGCGUAAAGGGUGCGUAGGCGGUCGGGUAAGUCUGGCGUGAAAUCUCCGAGCCUAACUCGGAAACUGCGCUGGAUACUAUCCGGCUUGAGGAAUGGAGGGGAGACUGGAAUACUUGGUGUAGCAGUGAAAUGCGUAGAUAUCAAGUGGAACACCAGUGGCGAAGGCGAGUCUCUGGACAUUUCCUGACGCUGAGGCACGAAAGCCAGGGGAGCAAACGGGAUUAGAUACCCGAGU
rnacentral:rRNA from 1 species